GAUGAACGCUGGCGGCGUGCCUAAUACAUGCAAGUCGAGCGAAUGGAUUAUGAGCUUGCUCUUAUGAAGUUAGCGGCGGACGGGUGAGUAACACGUGGGUAACCUGCCCAUAAGACUGGGAUAACUCCGGGAAACCGGGGCUAAUACCGGAUAACAUUUUGAACCGCAUGGUUCGAAAUUGAAAGGCGGCUUCGGCUGUCACUUAUGGAUGGACUCGCGUCGCAUUAGCGAGUUGGUGAGGUAACGGCUCACCAAGGCAACGAUGCGUAGCCGACCUGAGAGGGUGAUCGGCCACACUGGGACUGAGACACGGCCCAGACUCCUACGGGAGGCAGCAGUAGGGAAUCUUCCGCAAUGGACGAAAGUCUGACGGAGCAACGCCGCGUGAGUGAUGAAGGCUUUCGGGUCGUAAAACUCUGUUGUUAGGGAAGAACAAGUGCUAGUUGAAUAAGCUGGCACCUUGACGGUACCUAACCAGAAAGCCACGGCUAACUACGUGCCAGCCGCCGCAGUAA
rnacentral:rRNA from 1 species